rnacentral:sRNA from 1 species
UAAUUUUUACACUACUUACAUCAGCAUGCUGUUGGAAUAAGACUGGGGCCCAGCCUCCACCUUACAGCAUUGCACUGGAGAGUCAGCUGAGAGCAGAACUGUUCACGGGGUACUCGGUGCUACAGAGACCGUCCCAAAUCGUAGAUGUCUUCAUGGACUUCUCUCUUCUGACCGUCAACGACCUGAACAUCAAGGAUCAGACUUUCUCGGUAUCGGCGUUGCUGUCUCUGACAUGGAUAGACAGUAGAAUGGCUUGGCAUGCUGGCGUGGGUCUUUCCCAGGACUACAGCAGUAUCCCAUUCAUGUUUAGCACUGAACAGUUCGUCUGGAAACCGUCCAUUUAUGUAGAAAACUCUGUUGAAGACUUGUCUGUCAUAACUGAUUUGUACACACCUAUGAGGAUGGGUAAAUUUGGAAAGAUACGAUGGAGUACAUCCGCAAUUUAUAAAGUGAACUGUGAAUCCGACAUAAGGUUCUAUCCUCUUGACUCCCAAUCCUGUGAAAUUAUCAUCACUACGGCAAGCUACACUGCUAACGAGAUUCGUCUGAAGCUCGAUACUAAUCCAGUAUCGUUGAUGUACUAUACUGAAAAUGGGGAGUGGGAAUUGCUUUCAGUAGAAAGCGAAAAACCGAUUGAUAAAAUGAUGGGAGAGGAACCUUUUACAAAAGUGAUUUUUCGCGUGAACAUGCGCAGACGACCGUUGUUUCACGUGUUGAACACAAUGUUUCCUGUUGCAUUGAUGGCCUUCUUGAUACCCAUGGCCUUUAAACUCCACGUGGAUUCUGGCGAAAAGAUGGGGUAUUCUCUGACUGUUCUUCUGGCAUAUGCUGUGUAUCUAUCCAUGAUUUCAGAAAACAUUCCGAGUACAUCUGUCUCAAUUUGCUUCAUAUCAAUCUACCUGGCAUCGACUUUGGCCGUGGCAACCAUUGCUGUACUCUUCGUCAUUAUCGUCAUCAACGUAUACCACACCUCGGAAGACAGAGAGAUCCCGUCUGCUUUAGAGUCGUUCGCUUUUUGUUUAGAGUCAUGCUUUUGUAAACAGGGAAGAAAAACUGGACAAAAACAAUCGAGAAUAGCACCAUCACCGGAAGAGUCCAUCGAGAAGCAACCGGGUGUUGUUGAUGACGUCACUAAACAGGAUGAAAAAGAGGAAGAAAUGACGUGGAAACGACUUGCUUGUCUUCUUGAUCGUUUCUUCUUUAUAACGUUUAUGGCUACAAUUGGAAUCUCAACAGCGGCGUUUAUUUGCAACAUCUAUGCACAUCAGAUUGUGUGGGGCGAGGGUAAGCUAGGAAAUAAAGAAGGUGUUUUAAAAACCUUCAACCUAAAUCGCCGACUCCAAGUUGCGCCCAAAGCCUACAGCAUUGCCCUGGAGAGUCAGCUGAGAGAAGAACUGUUCUCGGGGUACUCAGUGCUACAGAGACCGUCCCAAGUCGUUGUUGUGAAAGUGGGCUUCACUCUCUUGACCGUCAACGACUUGAACAUCAAGGAUCAGACCUUUUCAGUAUCUGCUUUACUAACAUUGACAUGGAUAGACAGUAGAAUGGCUUGGAAUGCAGCAGCAGGUCUUUCCCAGGACUACAGUAGCAUUCGUUUCAUGUUCAGCAAUGAGCAACAUGUCUGGAAACCCUCCAUUUAUGUAGAAAACUCAGUUGAAGACUUAUCUGUCAUCACUGAUUUGUACACACCUAUGAGAAUGCGUAUGAAUGGAAAGAUACGUUGGAGCACGCCCGCGAUUUAUAAAGUGAACUGUGAAUCAGACAUACGGUUCUACCCUCUAGAUUACCAAUCCUGUGAAAUACGAAUCACAACCGCUGGCUACACGGCAAUCGAGAUUCAACUUCAGUUGGAAAAGAACCCAGUAUCGUUGAUGUACUAUACUGAAAAUGGAGAGUGGGAAUUGCUUUCAGUGGAAAGUGAGAAACCACGAAAUAAAAUGGAGGAUGGCGAACUCUUUACCAAAGUGAUAUUUCGCGUGAACAUGCGCAGACGACCUUUGUUUCACGUGUUGAACACAAUGUUUCCUGUUGCAUUGAUGGCCUUCUUGAUACCCAUGGCCUUUAAACUCCACGUGGACUCUGGCGAAAAGAUAGGCUAUUCUCUGACGGUUCUUCUUGCAUAUGCUGUGUAUCUGUCGGUCGAUGAUUCUAGAAAACAUACCAAGUACAUCUGUCUCAAUUUGCUUCAUAUCAAUCUACCUGGCAUCUACUUUGGCCGUGGCAACCAUUGCUGUACUCUUCGCCAUUAUCGUUAUCAACGUAUACCACACCUCGGAAGACAGAGGGAUCCCAUCUGCCUUACAGUCGUUUGCAUGUUGUCUACAAACAUGCUUCUGCAAAAGACGAAAGAAACCUUGGCAAAAACGAACGAAAAUAGAGCCAAUGUGCAUGCAAGACAACAGGCCCAUCGAGAAAACACCGGAUGUAGGUGAUGAUGUCACUAUUUGUGAAGAAGAAUUGACGUGGAAGGAGCUCGCACGUCUUCUCGAUAAGUUUUUCUUCAUUGUGUUCAUGGCUACAAUUACAGUGUCAACGUCAGCUUUUAUUGUAAUCAUAUCUUUGAAAAUUAACCAGUAUUAAUGGAUUUAACUCCAUGACUAAUCAGGAUGUUGAUAACA